CAGCUGACCCUCGUCCGACCAGCCGCCACGUCCUGUAACCAGAAAUGACCGGGAUGAAUGUCUGGCUCCC
rnacentral:lncRNA from 1 species